ACGUUUGUUUAAAUUUUGUCGUUUAAAAGUGUUUACUAGUUUUGUAGAAGAAACAAAAAACAAGGCUGAUGAGAGACGAUCGAGAAAAAUAAGUGCAACGCGAGUGACUUUUGAUUUUUUUUCUUUGGUCAGAAUUUUGAACUUCGACGUAUUUGAUUUGAAAAAUACGACGAUUGAUCAAUUGGGAUUAAAACAAAUAAAGUGCGACGUGACGUUUUAGGGGAUUUUCAUUUUUUCUUUUUGUUUUUUUUUCUUCUUUUCUUUAGUAUUCCUUCUUCUCGGACAAGAUUUUUGUUGUGGUCGAGUUAUUUUAUACGUUGGAGAUACGACGAUUAGAAUUAACGAGAGAAUCGUUGUCGGGGCAUAGCGAUUUCCGUUAUUAGGAUUCCUCGAGCGAAACGUUAGAGCAGAACAAACGUCGAGUGAGACAACGAGAAAACGAGAAAACGA
rnacentral:lncRNA from 1 species